AGAAACAAACAUUGUUCUGUCGGAGGA
rnacentral:piRNA from 1 species